GUGAAAUUUCAAUGAUACCCACCUCUAAGAGCCACUCUGCAAAACAAACCACUCAAUAAGCUGGAGGUAAUGGAGACUGCAGGUCAGGCUUUACAGCAAUAUCAUUACCAUACACACUCUCACACACACGCACACACAGUCCCAUUGUCUGGGCAGUACUUAUUAGUGCCCAUGCUAACAGAGUUUGUCCAUAAGUGACCUUAAUUAAGUGGCUAGCACCAUUAGCUGCAGAGCUAAGAGGGUAAGAGCUAUCCAUCUGCAUGUGAAUGUGUGUGUUUUUAUGAUAAUGGCUUUGUUGAGGUGUGUACUGGAAUACUAACUACGGGCUGCACGCAACCCAAAAUGGAUAAAUAGGCAGCUGAAGUUGAGCGUUGAAGAGGGGAUGGUUUAGAUAAGUUACUCAUUGUGAGAAAGACAAAAACAGGGAGCAAUGCCGAGGGCUGCUUUAAAUGCAGGUUAGCCCCAUUUACAAGCACAAAUGUACUCACACGCAGGCACACACAGCACUCAGCUUUCUGAGCGCCUUUCAGUUUGCCCUAUCAUUUUUCAUUAGUUAUGAAAACAAUCUAAUCUCAUCAGGUUUCCAGGUACAAAAUAACUGUGUCAUUGAAACAUUAAUAAAAAAAAGAAGAGUUAUUGAAGAUACUAUAUGUGAUUAUUGUUACUGAUGGAACAAAUCACUGUCAUUGUCAAAUUAUGUACAUUUGUUGUUUAUUUCUAUCCUUUUAUCACAUUAAUAAUAGUUGCUGUGUUGCAAUUUAAUGUAAUCAAUAACUGGUUCAUUAUUUUUCACUGAAUUGUUAUAAAGUCAAUAUUGUGGCUUUUACUCGAUUAUAAGUCUUAUUUAUAUGAGUCAUCGCCGUUGUUGUUGUUGUUGAUGAUGUUGCUGUAGCUAAUGGAUUCUCGCCCUGUUCGCUCGUAAACCUGCUAAACUGGGGUCACAGGGUCAAAGGUCGCUGCUCUUCCUUUGAUGUGACCCUGACAUCCUGAGAGGAAGAGGAAAUGGAGGAGGAAGAGGAUUCUUCAUGGAUUAGUGACAUCAUCAUCACUGUUUGAGGGCAGAGGAAGGAAAGCAGGAGUGACAUGAUGAUCUAUCUGCCAGUCACUUCUCUGUGGAUCUGGUUGGAGGUGAAUCGACACAACAGACAAAAGCUAUGGAGGAUGAUGAAGCGAAAACCAAACAGAGACCACACCUCUCAGUUGUUUAAGCUUGCUUACUUUGCAAUUUCCCCAAAGAUUUAAUGCUUAUUUUCCUUUCUCAUAUCUUCCAAGAGCUGUCUGACCACUUUCAUAAAAAAAAAUUACAUGACCUUUUUGUGUGGCACGGAAGAGUGAGACGAUAUAUUGAUAGACAUGUCUGAUGUAUCAAUAUCUGCUGUUUAAGUUGACAGAUAAGUAAAAAAGAAACUGCAUUACAAAAAUAACCUGAAUCAGAAAUAAAGACAACUUGCAAAGUUUGCCUUGAAAAGGUUAUUUUUCAACUGCAAAAUAUCCUACAUAUAUCGUAUCGUAAAAAAGAAUAACUAUCAGCUUACUAUAUUGUUAAAACCCUUGCAUAUUAUAUUGGUAUCAAAUACAGUAUCACUCUGGCUGUUUAUGGGUCACAAUUCAAGAAAAAGUACAUGUCUAAAAUCUGUGUCCUCUUUCUGCUGGUGCAUAGCUACAUUUUUUUGAUGCAUAAACACCAGCUGUCAGUGGAAUAGUGCAACUAACUAGAGUACAAGUUUUCAUUAAGGGCCGUCCACACCAAACACAAUAACUAUAAAUAUAGUUUUAAAAAUCAUUGUUGCUCAAGUGGAUGGAGUCCACACCACAACUAUAAUGACAAUAACAGUGGUGAAUUACAUCAUUGGGAUGACUUUCAGAGACAUUUGAUAAACAAGUUUGUAGUAUAAAACCUAUAAAAAGCUUAUAUAACGUAAUAUUAGGCUGUAAAUCACAUAAAAAACAUAAUUUUACCUGAAACAUGGUCUCUAGUGCUGAUGGGGUCUGAUGUCCUUUUGAAAAAAAUCAAAGUAUGAAUAAAAAAAGACGACAACUCCCGUAACAGUAAUCUUUAAUGAACCUAAAUCUUUCUGGUUUUCUCUUUUUUUUUCCUCUGCGCAACACACAGCAGUAACAGGUCAUCAAUAACUUAAUCAAUCUAGUAAGCUAGCGACCGGCUAGAGCUCGAAGUACGUGUGUGUGUGGAUACUCACAUUGUAAUGGUUAUAGUUAUUGUUAUAUUUAUUGUUCUUGGUGUGGACGGACAUUUACUCUCUGCAGUCAGCAGAAAUGUCUAUCACCUGCAUGCUCAUGCAUGUUAGCACAGCACAAAAUACUAAAACAAUGGGGGCCAACGAAACAUUGCUCCAUAGCGCCACUAGUGGGCAAAAGUUCCAAUCUUUAAGCUUUAAUUUAUCCAACAAAUAAGGCCUCGUAUAUCUCAUUCCUCUGUACAACCUCUAGUGUCCAGUGUCCAGAAACUAUAAAAAUAACACACAUAAACAAGCCACACUUUUGCAUUGUAGUUUAUUUUGGAGUCAGUCCUAUUUACACUUUACUGCUGACGUAAAAACACAUAGAGCAACAAAUGUGUAUUAAUCCACAACCGAAAAGUGUCCGCACUAAAUCCACUAUUUACUCCUGUUAGUUAAAUGUGUGCUUAAAACCACAGUGGCCACCCUUAAAAUACCCCAAUAUUUCCACUCAAAGGCCCCAGCACAUCCAUAUUUAGGAUGAGUACCAGAAAGAUUACUGAAGCAUGUGGUAAACACAAUGUGUGAUGCCGUUGUCCCUACAUUUAUUCUGGAUAUUUACUGUCUAUAGCUCCAGCAUAUGAUUUGGCAGGUGGGCAGGGAGGGAGGGAGACAGAGGAAGGAGAGGAAGGGGGGGGCAGAGAGAGGGAGAGAGAGCAUAUACAUCACUUCAUCCUUAAUUAGCUGUCAUCAGCUUCUCUCCUCAGAGGAACGAGAGACUAAUAAUUAAUGAUCAAACUCUAAAGUACAGUCACUCUCAUCCUCUCCCUCUCUCCUCCUCUAUCACAGGAAGAAGAAUUAACAAAGAAAAAAGAUAACAGUUGAUUUGGUUAGAGAGUAAUGAAAAAUGACUAGAGGAAAAGCAGCGUUGGUAUCGCAGUAAGCCAAUGAGGGAUCUUGUAGAUUAAAUAAAUGACUCAUCGAAAACCAACAGAAAUGAGGUAAGAGGCAUUUCUCCACCCUCAGGUUACCAAGGUAACCUGCGCUCCCUGCCCUCCAGAUUAUUAUUGCUUGUUUGGUGUAAAAAGAGCCAUGAGCAUCCUCUUUAUUAGUCCAGACUGCAAUGCACAAGGCCAGGAUUAAUGAACCUGCCUUAUCGUCUGCUGAUGUGAGGAGGAUUCAUUUUUACAAGAAGAGAACAUGCCAGGAAAGGCAUAGCAAUGUUUUAACAAAGCCUGUGCGUCUGUGUAGACAAGAGCAGCUAAUUAGAGAGGAACACAGUGUAAGCGGGCAUAUGUGCACAAGGGGACCAGUCAGCCAACACACGACAGGAAAGCGCUGCGGGGGGACGCAGGCAGGCAGGCGACUGACCAGCUCCGGAGCCAACACGGAGCCGCCAUGGAGGCAUGUUAUGGUCUCAGCGCCCCAAGCCCCUGGCACUCUUUCCUGAAGCCCUGUUUGUAGUAGCGGGGAGGGGUGGAAACUGCAGGCUUUACAGACCCCACCACAACCUGUCCUCUCUCCAAGACUGGACCUACUCUGAGGCCAUGAGAUGUGUUUGUGUGUAUGCUUCUUCUUAAGCUGCUCUUAAGUGCUUUAAUUGGAUUAUCCUUAAUGAGUAAACAAACAACUACAGCAGCAAAAUAAUAAGCAAAUGAAUAAACGUGUCAAGAAGCACUUUGCUGUCCUCCCUCCCCGUUCCUUUUUUUUUCACUAUCAGCUCUCACUGUCCUGCCCCCUUUUUACUCAACAUUUCGCUCAUUUACUUCCUCUCAUGUGUAAUUAUCCCGAUUAAGAAUGAUUCAAAAACACUGCUGCUGGAGAGGCGUGUGUGUCACACUCGAACGAGACAGGCGUUCUUAAGUGGCUGCUUUGAAGUCCGUGAUGAGCCUGUGAUUAGUCCUGUGAUUCAUUGACAAGAGAAAGAAAGGGAGGCGAAAAAUGACAGAGAGCGGGCGAGCUCCAGGGGAGACGGAGAGCAAAAAUAAACAAAUGGAGAAUUUUGAAAUGACAUCUGUGAAUAUUAUUAGGACAUUAAUCUGCACUGAUGACACAGAUGCUUAAGCCAUCUCCUUCUGUUAUUGCAAGGAAAAGAGGAGAGGAGAAGAGGAAAUAUAGAGAGGAGCAGAGAGGAAAAGAUUAAAAAGCAGAGGAACAUAAAGAGGAGGAAAUGAAAGAAAGAAGGGAGAGCAGAGGAAAAGGGAGAGUUAACGAAGAAGAGAGGAAAGAGACACAAAAUGUAAGGAAGGAGAAAGAGAGGGGAGAUGAGAGGAGAGGAUUGGAGGAAUAAAGGAAGUGAGAGAUAUGAGAAACAGACAGAGAGGUGAGGAAAUUGGGUAAGAGUGAAUGAGGAGACGAGAGGAAGGAAAUUAGGAGAGGAGACAUGACAAAGGGAGAGGAGGGAAGGAGAGGUUAACUUAUGGAGGAGAGAUGCAAAGGAUGGAAGAGAAAGAGAAAUGGCCAGAGAAGAGAUGAAAUAGGAUGAAGCUACCAAAAGAAAGAGAAGAUGAAAGAGGGGGAGCAAAUAGGAGAGGAAAUGAGGAAAGAGCGAAUAAGAUAAUGGGAGGAAAGAAACAGGAGACAAGGUGGGAAAGGUAGAGAGGAGAGUGGAAGUAAAGUAAAGACGAGACGAGAAAAGAUGUACAGUGAGAAGAUGUGAGGGCAAGAUGAAGGAUGAGAAGAAUGGAAUGAGAAAAGAAGAUCUGGUGAAGUGAAAAGAGGAAUGGAGAGAAAAGAGGAGAUGAAAUGAGAGGAAAACCGAAGAGGAGAUGAGGAAGGAGAGUACAUGAGGAGAUGAGAUAAGAGGAGAGGAGGAAAGGGGGUAGGAGGAAAGAAGAGGAACAAAAAGUAGAGGAGAGGAGAGGAGAGGCUAAAGCACUUUACUCUUUUAAUUCCAAUUUAUGGACCUAUAAAAAGGGCCAUUUCCUAAAAAAUCUAUACAGAAAAAUCUAAGCCAAAUCAUUUCAUCACUUUCUCUGCCCUAAUUGCAGCCAUAUGCAAUUUUAAAGGCUAUUCUACCUUCUAAUGGUUCCCCGGAGGAACGAGGGGUUAAUUGCUGCAGCUGGUGAUGUAGCUCCUCAGUAGAAGAGAAGUGAGGUUUCUCUCUCUGUCGAUCACUCCCUCUUUCUCCUUUUCUCUCUCCUCUGGGAAUAGCUGUCUAACACAGUGUUAAGGAGACAGGAAAAGGAGACUUUUAUGUAUAGGUUCUGGUUUAUUACAACUUAUUUUCCUAGUUUUGGUAAUGAUUUCUAUUGGUUAUAAUAACCCUCUGCUGCAGUUAACUUAUUUGCUGAGUUGACACAUCAGUCAGAAUAGGUCUGACUGAUGUUCACAUCGGUUCGCCAACUUUGGAAAACAAAACAAA